rnacentral:lncRNA from 1 species
GGCACUGGGAAGGUCACUCGCCUCUCCUGGCCUCAGUCUUCAUCAGCUGUGAAGUGAGAAUAAGGACACCUUCCACCCUGGACCAUUGUAGAGAUGACGGGGGAGAGGAGUGGUACAGAGGAGGGCAGAGGAUCCAAGCCAGUCCACACCGAGGGUCUCGGGGCUUUCGCUGCAAGAUGGGAGCAGACCCUCACUCUCUGCUGCUGGAUCUGCACCUGCUUGUUUGCUGGCGGCAUAUCUGAGCGCCCACAAGGGUGGGGUCCUCUGGAUGAGAGUCAACACAGAGGGAGUGAAGAAAGCAAGCAGACGUGAGGACAAUACCGGAGCCCCAGUGCCCAUCCAUGAUGCUCCAGUUACACGAGGCAAAAUGCUAUUUUUGGUUUAAAAAGAAAAAUGAAGGCAGAUUUUAUUUUUUCCAAAGCAGUUACUGCCUUCUGGUAUAUUAUAUUAUAUAAUAUACCCACUUAUUACGUUUAUUGUUUACUGUUUGUCUCUCCUCACUAGAAGGAAAGGUCCAUGAGGGUGGGGUUUUUGUCUCUGUGUUUGUUGAUACAUCACCAGCACCCAGCACAGUGCCUGGCACACAGUAGGUGCUCAAUAAACACCUGUCAAAUGAAUGAAUGAAGGUACUCUGAAAUCUGGAGAAUGUUGCAAAUGUCUAUAAUAAUAACUGUAGAUAGUUGCUCAUCAGAUUUUUUUUUCAUUUGCUGGCUGAGUUUGCCAUUUAGCUGACAACCUGAGACCGAGACAGACACUCCUCAGACCGAAGACAAGGGCUAACCUUCAGUGUUUCAUCUCUAAGGCAAAACGUGGCAACAGGUUUCCUCCUGGAAAGCUUCCUGGACGACCCAGAGGAGCGCCUCUCCUCCAGGCUCCCUCCUCCAGGCGCCCUCCUCCAGGCUCCCUCCUCCAGGCCCCCUCCUCCAGGCUCCCUCCUCCAGGCCCCCUCCUCCAGGCGCCCUCCUCCAGGCUCCCUCCUCCAGGCUCCCUCAGCCCUCAUGCUCCCUCAUCACAGC